rnacentral:rRNA from 1 species
CCUACGGGCGGCUGCAGUAAGGAAUAUUGGUCAAUGGAGGAAACUCUGAACCAGCCAUCCCGCGUGAAGGAUGAAGGGGCUCUGCCUUGUAAACUUCUUUUGUCUGGGGCGAAAAAGCUCGAUUUAUCGAGAACUGACGGUACCAGAAGAAUAAGCACCGGCUACCUCCGUGCCAGCAGCCGCGGUAAUACGGAGGGUGCAAGAGUUAUCGGGAUGCACGGGGGCGUAAGGGUCGUAAUAAGGCAGUGGUGAAAGGCUGUGGCUUAACCAUGGAAUUGCCAUUGAUACUGCAGAGCUUGAAUGAGGUUGAGGUUGGCGGAAUGUGACAUGUAGCGGUGAAAUGCUUAGAUAUGUCAUGGAACACCGAUUGCGAAGGCAGCUGACUGGACCUAUAUUGACGCUGAGGCACGAAAGCGUGGGGAGCGAACAGGAUUAGAUACCCGUGUAGUC